rfam:Arabidopsis thaliana chromosome 2, complete sequence.
AAACUGUGAUGGGGGUACUGAGUGGUGUAUCCUUUAAACCUCUCCCAAGCUUCACAAAAGUUUCAUCGUUUUUCUCGGUGAAGCCUGAGAUCGCGUUCCUCAAUCU